rnacentral:rRNA from 1 species
CAGCAGCCGCGGUAAUACGGAGGGUGCGAGCGUUAAUCGGAAUUACUGGGCGUAAAGCGUACGCAGGCGGUCUGUUAAGUCAGAUGUGAAAUCCCCGGGCUUAACCCGGGAACUGCAUUUGAAACUGGCAGGCUAGAGUCUCGUAGAGGGGGGUAGAAUUCCAGGUGUAGCGGUGAAAUGCGUAGAGAUCUGGAGGAAUACCGGUGGCGAAGGCGGCCCCCUGGACGAAGACUGACGCUCAGGUACGAAAGCGUGGGGAGCAAACAGGAUUAGAUACCCCUGUAGUCCCUGUCUCUUAUAC